GAAAAUAAAAGACAAUUGGCUUCGUGACGUCAUAAAUAUUUAAAAUCAAAAUAGUACAACCCUUAUGCCACUAGUUAGCGUUUUUCAUCGAUUGGUUCCUUAAAAAACAUUGAUUGAUUUUGGUUACUAGUAUACUGAUUUAAUUUUAUAAAUACAAUUGUAAACAGCGAGGAGUAUAACACGAUGUGGGAAUUUUUGAAGUUUUGUUUUAAAAACAAUACGUUAUUUGUUAUUUAAAUGAGUUGUGUAUUUUCCUUGUUAAAUUGGACACACACACAUAAUAAAUAUUUUACAAUAAAUUAAUAU
rnacentral:lncRNA from 1 species